AGCUAAUGGAACAGCGUUAUGGGUUGCAUAAUUCAAAUAAUGUGUCUGGCUUCAUCUUGUCCUAGGCAAGAUUCCUACUAGGAUGAACACUUUUAAAACAGAUGCGGUCCUGAAGGUUGUAGUAACCCUUAAAGUAUUGCACUGGACAGAGAUUUAUUUGUUGUGCUAUUUGUUGUGCUGUGAACUGUCAGCCUUGUGUCUUGCCCAUUUUAAU